rnacentral:lncRNA from 1 species
AUUUAGCCUUUGGCUUUUGUUUUGGAGUGUUCCAUAGUCAUUGGUUAAUUUUGUAAAUCCUCAGUUCAGCCAGCAUUUUGAGUGGCGUUCGGCAUGAUGGUCAGACAACGCAUCUCUUUCAUUCUCCUGCUCUAUGCAGCCCCUGUGUCCCAUCCCUUCUCAGCCAGUGUCCUAAUCUUCAAGCAUCAACAUCUUUGCAUAGCUUCCCUUUCACAGUGUCCAAAUAAGUCAGAGAAAAACAUCUGGAGCUCAUCAGUGGAACAUGAAGAAGUCAUUGUCCAAGCAAUGGCAAGAGACAUGCAGGGAGUAGAGGAAGAUCUGCAUCCAUUUUGUCAGUGCCACAAGGGUGGGAAAGAAUGUGUGAGAGGUGAUGCUCCAAGAGUCAAAUAGCUGAAAUGUUUCCAGAAUUAAUGGAAGAUAGCAAUCUGCGGACCCCAAAGCCUGAAUAAUUCUAAACAAAACAUAUAAAAAGAGCAAAUAUAUACCUAGACAUUUAACAAUACAGAAACCACUGCAAAAGUACACAACCAACCAGGAGGAAAGUCAGGUGACCUGAUCUUCAAAGGGCAGCAGGCUGUGGCUGGCUCCCCAGCUACACCAGAGCUGGGGAAUCCCUGAGUGCUUCACUAAGGUUGGAAGUGGAACACAGAUGUUCCAGAAUAGCAUCUCCUCUGAGAUUACUUGGAACCAUCAAAGCCAAAUCCUCCAAAGUUUUGAAAAAGGACAGGCAGACAGAAGCACGAUGUUUAUUGAGAAACAGAAAAUGCUGGAAAGAACUCAAAGCCCAUCAACAGCAAGAGGAGCUGUGACACCUGGCACCGUGGAGGACAGGGAACACCUCUGCACUGUCCCCUAGAAGGAAUCCUGAGGAAUAGUAACUUUAAAAGGCACAUACGGUCUGUUACCUUCCAUCUGAGAUCAUGAAUGUGAUAUGUUUAUUUACAAUUCAAAAAGUACAAACCAUAAUUUUUUUUUUUUUGGAAAAAAACCUGGGGUUGGAUAUGAGACCAGUGGGAAAGGAAAGUUGUUCAUGGAGAUUAGACUGUCUGAACACAAUUGUUUUGUGCAUUUGACUUGGAAGUAUGUAAUAUCUUACAUAAUUAUAAAGCUGAAAACAUUUAAAUUUUACUUUAUUUAAUAUAUGUGAGGGGGAGAGAAUGUAUGUAUGUAUGUAUGUAUGUAUGUAUAUAUGUGCACCACAUGCAUGCAAUGACUGGAGUAUGAAGAGGGCAUUGGAUUCCCUGAAACUAGA